UAACACAUGCAAGUCGAACGGAAUCCUUAGGGAUUUAGUGGCGGACGGGUGAGUAACGCGUGAGAAUUUGGCUUCAGGUCGGGGACAACCACUGGAAACGGUGGCUAAUACCGGAUAUGCCGAGAGGUGAAAGGCUAGCUGCCUGAAGAUAAGCUCGCGUCUGAUUAGCUAGUUGGUGGGGUAAGAGCCUACCAAGGCGACGAUCAGUAGCUGGUCUGAGAGGAUGAUCAGCCACACUGGGACUGAGACACGGCCCAGACUCCUACUGAAGCAGCAUGGGAAUUUCGCAAUGGCGAAGCUGACCGAGCAAUACGCUGAGAGAGGAAGGCUCUGGAUGUAACUCUUUUCUCAGGAAUGAAUAAGUGACAGAACUGAGGGAAAUUAAGGCAUCGGCUUAACUUCCGUGGCAGCAAGCCGCGGGUUAUAUACGGGAGGAAUCCCAGGCGUUUUCCGGAAUGGAUUGGGCGUAAAAGGGCUUUCCGUCAGUGUGUUGUUGCAAAUCUGUGUGUGUAAAAGAGAUGUCUGGUUUACUAGAGUAUAAGGGCACGUGGGGAACUGUGAGAGAUAUGAGAUGUAUGUAUAGGGUAGAGAGGAAUUUCCAGUGUGUACGCGUGUGAAUGUGUAGAGAGAUGGGGAGAGACACACCGUGUGCGAGAAGCGCUCUCUGCUGGACGCGUACUGACACAUGAAGGGAGAAAAAGCUAGGAGAGCGAUGGGGGAUAGAUAUACCCUCAGUAGUCUAGCCGUAAACGAUGGAUAUAUAGGCGCGUGAGAGUAUAUCGACCUCUCAGUGUGCGCGUAGCACACGCGCGUUAGUAUAUCCGCGCUGGGGAGAGUAGCACAGCACAGUGUGUGAACUCACAAAGAAAGACGGGGGGCCGCACACAGCGCGUGGAGUAUAUGUUUUUAAUUCGAUGCAACGAAGAGAACCACCAGGGGCGACACAUGUCGAAAUCGAGGAAAAAGGAGAGUGUGCUUUGGAGCGCGAACACACAGGUGGCACAUGGCUGUUCACAGCUCGUGUCGAGAGAUUGGGGUAUAUGUCGCACAGAGAGCACAACUCUUGUUUUUUUUCCACCACAGUAAUUGGCGAUCUAUAAGAAGACCCGCGGAUACAAACGGGGAGAAGGGGGGGGAGAUCACAUGUUCACACCCCCUACACGUCGGGGUACACACAUGUUACACAACAGUGGGCACAGGGGGCCACAAGAUAGAUAGCACACAAAAUUCACAUAAACCAUGGCUCAGUUCAGAUGCCAGGGCAACUUGCCUGGCGAAAGGGGAAUCGUUAGUUUCCCAAUUCACCAUACUGCAGUGAAUUCGUCCCGGGUCCUUUACACACCGCCCGUCACACCAUGGAAGUUGUUAGUCCCGAAGUCAUUACCC
rnacentral:rRNA from 1 species